CCGUUUAACUCGUCGCUCCUUUGAGGGCGACUACGGGAG
rfam:Phyllobacterium sp. YR531 PMI41_contig_32.32, whole genome shotgun sequence.